UAUCCUCCCCUGUGAGUAAUUUCACACAUGAGUACAGCAACAGGGAGCUAAAAAUGGAUUUCUGACAUUAUCUUUUAUAUGACAAACAGACAUUUUCACUUGGUUUGAUGAACUGAUAGAAAUCCUCCUUCAUGCAGAUUUCUAUUCUCGGCAGUCCAGCAAAAGAAGACCAGAAUAGCCAAGCCAGAAGUGGAAUAAAAGGGGCCUACUCUGUGGGAGUGUUUAAUUAUAGGCUCAGUUACAACAAAGGCCAUUAGAUGCCUCAUUUAUGUCACCUUUCUGUGCUUCCUUCUUCUUAUCACUAGUCAAAAAGGGAUUACAUUUGUGUGUGAGGGACUCUGAGCAGUGGCCUUCACUCCCGCAUUCCUUCGGACUCUUGCAUCAUCAGACAUCUAUUUUCCCUCCACACAACACAGGGGUGCACAUGGGGCUUGGAGUGAUUUUACAGGAGACUGAAAUUGAAAGCCAGUGAAACAUAUUGAGUUUAUAGAAGUGGUAGUGUUGCAGCUCAACUUAUGUCACAGAACUGUUCCGGUACAAUGAAUCUCGAGGCGGAAAUAGGAGUGGCACCCUGUCCUAUUUCCCCUAGUGAUCCACUAGUAAAAUUUUUGCUUCCUGUUACUGCACCGUUCUGCUCUGCUGAUCUAAAAGUCUUAGUUCCAAAGGGAGGAAUAGUGCUACCAGGAGACACAACAAUCAUUCCACUGAAUUGAAAGUGAAGACUGCCACCCAACUGCUUUGGGCUCUUCAUGCUUCUCAGUUAACAAAGAAGGGAGUUCUCGUCGCUGUGCUGGCUGGGGUGAUUGAUCUGGGUUUCCAAGGGAAAUUGGGCUGCUACUUCAUGACGAAGCACACUGCCGGCCGCAAGGCCAAGCCUCCAAUGCCACGGACUGGGGAUACCUUCUCUCCACUUCCGUCUGCCGUGGGCAAACUUGCCGGCAAAGCUUCCUGAGAAGCACGGUUCCUGGCACAUCAUUGUGCGCCCUGACAGUUACAGUUCACAUCUGGAGAGCCUGCUGCCAUCUGAGAAGAUUCCUUUAGCAAGGCUUAAAUCAAAAUGAGGGAUUCCUGGGUAGCUGAUGAAGAAACAGUCUAACAAGGCGAUUCGAACAAUUAUUUCAAUUAUAAUGAAGUCAAGUCAAGGUAACUUUGAACAGGCCAUUAUCAUUGUGCUUGAGGAAAGAAUUUUCAAAAUCCCAACUACGGUGAACCACGGCUUCAGCAAUACAAAAAGGAUUGAGACGGACAUUCUCUUUUCCUAUGAAAAGCUCUCGAUAGAGUGAUGGCAAUUUAUAUUGUGUUGAACGCCCGAUUGAAGUUCUGGUGAGUGACUCAAGUAUUUUGGUAGAGUUUUGUCCCUGGCUAAGUAAUAACAUUGAAUCAAUUCUACCACAAAGGUGAAAACAAAUGGGAUACUUUGCAUAAUGAUGCACACCAAUUUUAAGAUUAUAUUGUCCUUCAAAUUAGUGUGUCUUUUUCUUCUUUCAAAAUAUUUUAUAUGGUGGCUUACAUUGCUGCCUAAUUUAUUUUGUAAAAUAAACCCUUGGAUCCUGUAUUUGGGCUGCCCUUAGAACAUCAUAUCAUCUACUUGGGCACCAUUACUUCAGCAGAGAAGGUACUCCAAGAUGAUAAAUCUUAAUUCUGUUAACAUGAGCACUUCACAUGUCACAAAAAGGAUGGUGCUGUAAGUCUUCUACAGGUGAAACCCACUCUAGUGUGUUUGAGUUACUCUGCACUGUUUUAAAAAUCACUACUUUUGGGGCACCUGGGUGGUUCAAUCAGUUAAGCGCCAGACUCUUGGUUUCAGUUCGAGUCAUGAUCUCAGUUUUGUGAGUUCGAGCCCCACAUUGGGCUCUGCGCUGGCAGCAUGGAGCCUACUUGGGAUUCUCUCUCUCCCUCUCUCUGCCCCUCCCCUACUCAUGCUGUCUCUGUCUCUUUCAAAAUAAAUAAAUAACUUAAUUUUUUUUUUAAUAAUAAAAAAAUGGCUACUUUUGAAAGGCCUUAAAUGGACUUACUUUCUUUUCUUUAAUACUAUUACUCCUUUCCUAACACCUCAUCUGAAAUCAAGAGAACAUUUUUUUUUUCCAGGAGUAGUGAAUAUCCUCUAGUGAAAUCAAUUCAAUUUAGUUUAACAUUCUGGGCUUAAACAUCCAGAUUUAUUAGAGCAAUUGUCUUUCUUGACUAGGAAAUGCAAGAUGAUGGCUGGGGGCCAAUGGCUAAGGUUCAGCAAAGCAGAAUUUUCAUAAAUAAAGGUACAUGCUUCUGCUUAGUCUAUGUUUACAUUCUACAAGUAAAGCUGAGAAAAUGAAAUUAAAUUAUGACUUUGGAACAACUAACCACGUUGUUUCUGAUAAACAUACUCUGAUUGGUUCAAGAGAUUAUUCGUAUCAGGAUCACGAUGGUUAUAGAGCAUAAAACUGGUCCUUUCAUAAAACAUCUAUUGAUAUCCAAUGGAACCAGUGUUUCAUAGAAGAGAUUCUGGGAAAAGCUGGUAUACAUAUUUUUAGCUUACCUGUUGAGAUGGGAUUGAUUAUGUUUGUGAGGACCAAGGCUGUCUCUCUUUUGCUCUGUGUUGUAUCUGUAGCUCCCAGAGAUGUGGAAAAAGAAAAGAAGCCUGUCCCAGAGGUCAAGAGCCUGGGGUCCUAGACCCUGCUCUCUCAGCUCUGUGACCUUGGGAACUCACUUGGCUUCCCUGUACCUUGGUGUUCUUGUGUGUCAUAUAUAAAGCUGCCGAACAAGGUCUGUUUCAGCUGUAAUGUACUGUAGUGCAACUUAAAAACAUAAACUGUAUUUAUUUCAGGUACUUCCUACAAUCUAGCCUCAUUACAAGAAAUGCCCCAAUUUUGACUAUCAAUUAAUUCCCUAGAAGACAGGGCAAAUCCAAGAACUAUAGAAAUGUAAAUACUUUCUAUCCCAUUCUUGAUGUUAAAAAAGGAGGUUAUUUUUCAUGUCCCCUAAAACCUUAUGUAGCAUAAGAAUUUUGUACAUUUUAAAGAACUGCAAUGCUUUAAAAAGGGUUCUCUGGAAACCUUCUUGGAUCAGGGAUCCCCAUCAGAUUCAUAGCAAUUUGAUGAGUAAAUCUUGAAGCUUUACCUUGCAGGUCUAUAAGCUGUGAUUGAUAACCACAAAUCCUCCCUCACCCCAAACAAAUAAACAAAAAACCAUGCACAAUGAGACUAAAUUUAGCUCUCCCCCAUAAAAAUAUGAAGUAUUCCUAAUCUAGUCUUCAAACUUCUAAUAUCCACUCUUAACUUAUAUAUCAACCUCCACCCAAUGGUUUGAAAGCUCAGUCUUUCUCUGACAUGAGAAAGAAAGAGUUGGAGGGUGAGGUGUGGGGAACGCCCCAGUGACCCUCUGACACUAUUUCUAACCAGCUGGUUUGGGCCAGCCAGCAAUGGCCUGCAAAAUAUCCCCCAUAUAGGUCAUGACUCAACUUUAAAUACCAUCUGAAUGUUUCUGAAUACAUGUAAAAAGGGCAGAAUAUCUGUAUUUUGCUUCCUUCAUUCACUCAAGAAACAUGGAUUAAGCACCUCCCAUGUGUCAUUGUUUGAGGUGUUGAGGAACAAACAUGAAUAAGAUACAGGCACUGAGAAGACCAGGUUCCUAGUUUCUACCCCACCAUGAACAUUCUGUGUCUUGCUUUGGCCUUACCCACAUAAGCAUGUAACAUGGUGAACACCUAGAAACUCACCUGCUCCCUGAUGCCUUCCCACAAGCACAUCCGCUCCUGCCAUGCAGCCCAUUCCCAGGAUGCAGACAAAGAUGCCGAGGAAAUGCACAGCCUUGUACCGGAUCAGCAGGAAGAACCAGGAGAGCAAAAUCACCACCGGGAUCACAAAACAGUCCAAGAGCUACAGGGAAGGAGGGAGGUAAACAAGAGGAGGUUCAGGGGGAAGCUUUCCACAUAAUAAAGAAAAAUCACUUAGCCCUGUAGAAAGGCUAUUUCCCCUGAACCUCGGUUUCUGUGUAGACCCAGAACUGCUUCGGUUAAAACAGGCUCUGAAACAAGCACAAACUAGCUUUACUUAAACAUCCUCCAAGCUUGGAUGGAAAGGGAGAAGGCCAGUGGAUAAGACAGGUUGGUGGUGGAGAGUCGCCUGCCCUUACAGGGUCAGGGCAGCUGUCUCCCAUUUUCCUCAGCGCCUGGACUCCACCAGAACCCCUUACUUGAGGGAGAAGACACUGAGCCAUUUUAGAUGGUUCCACUAUUUUAAGAGUAAAUCUGGGAAUGGGAGGUAAGGGGGCAGAGGUCUUAUCAUGUUUUAUAAAUUAGUAGAAUUUAGACAACGGUUGAACUUAAUUUCUCCCAAAAACUAUCUCCUCGCUACUUGUAAAUUUGUUCUAAAUACAAAUAUUACUCUCAAGUUUACAAAGAUUUUAGAAAAUACCGUAGUAAAAAAAGAGUAAAGAGAGUGAGAGAGGGAAGGAUAAACAGAGUGUAGAAAAAAAAAAUCUUUGAUUUCAUUUCUUACGUAUUUUGUGCUAAUAACGAGAUUCCAUGUGACAUGGAAACCUCAGGACUUGGUAGAGAGCUGGCCCCAGUCUUGCAGCCAGUUAAUGUGGUGCAAUGAGAAGACCCUUGUGCCCAGAGUCAGGAGAUUUCAGUUUGAGUCUCAGAGCCUUACUUACAGUAGUGUGACCGUAGGCAAAUCACAAGCUCAGGAAGACUCAGUGUCCUGCCAGUAUAAUGAAGAUAAUAAUCCACUGACUUCCCCCAAAGAUCCCUGUGAAGCUCUGACAUAAUACAUGAGAAAACAUUUUGUUGAGCUACAAGGGCGUCAACGCUGGUCUAUCACCGUGCUUCCCAACACGUGCUCUUGGCUCCACGGAACGGGUUGUUUCUCCUACACUCUGGUAAGAUACAGUGACCUUUGGAUAACUCAUGUGAGGCAGGGUCUCCACUAGACAAACUGUAUCUCAUAGGACUUCAAACUCCAUGUACUGAACGAGAUAUUGGUGAUUCUGGCCCACUGCUGGGUACUGCUCCUCUGCUAGCAUCCUAGACAAGUAACUCUACCACCCAGCAGUCAGACACAGGGCAGUGAUCCCUGUACACCUCCGCUCUAACUGCCUGCAUCCUGUUGGCCACCAAGUUCUGUCAAUUCCAUCUUCUAAACAUCUCUCAAAUCCAUUCAUGCCACCCUCUCCCAUUUUUGCCACCUGGACUAAGCUUGUAUCCUUUCUUACUCAGAAUAAGCCCCUCCCAGGGGCGCCUGGGUGGUGCAGUCGGUUAAGCCUCCGACUUCAGCCAGGUCACGAUCUCGCGGUCCGUGAGUUCGAGCCCCGCGUCAGGUUCUGGGCUGAUGGCUCGGAGCCUGGAGCCUGUUUCCGAUUCUGUGUCUCCCUCUCUCUCUGCCCCUCCCCCGUUCAUGCUCUGUCUCUCUCUGUCCCAAAAAUAAAUAAAAAACGUUGAAAAUUAAAAAAAAAAAAAAAAGAAUAAGCCCCUUCUUCCUGCUUCAGGGUCUUCAAUCAUGCAUUCUCCUUCAUCUGGAAUGUCCCACUCAAUUCCCGAACUCCCGCUUCAUUGCCCUUCAGGCCUGCACUUACAUACUGCCUUCUCAAGAGAGCCUCUCAGGUCCCCAGGCUAGGUCAGGACCAUCGAUGCUUUCCUUAUAUCCUGUACUUUUCCUUUAUAGUGUCAAUUGCAAUAAUACUUAAUGAGCACAGAAUUAUUGGCACAAUGUCUAACUUCCCCACGUGUCCAGAGGUCUAUGAAAGCAGGACUGCAUUCUCAUUAGUCAGACCCUGCUGUGUUCAUGAGAAGUAUCCAAUGAUAGUGACUGAACAAGUGCAUACGGUAUUUUUAAUGAUCAAUAAUACCCAAAAUUCAUGAAAGGAUGAAAAAUCUUUGCGUGUUUGCAAAGCAUCCCUGACCAUCAGCAUGACUUUUUGGCUCUGUAAAGCAGCCAGCACUCAGAAUCCCUUCUAUCCCAAAAGAUUUUGCGGUCUGGCAGACCCUCAAGCUUCUCUGUGCAGCAGUUUCCUUUGCAACAAAAGCAAUCAGAAUUGUAAGCUGUCCCCGGGGGUGCUGUGAGAUAAGGUGAUGGAGGGCCACGUGGAUGCGAUGGCUGGGGGCUGAGUCUAGAGGUCACCGCACUCCCGGAGGAACUCUGUAUCAGGGUGGCGGCUGAUAGGAUUGCACUACAGCUGGAGUUGCUCAAUGCACAGUUAAUUAGCAAGUUAAUGAUCCUACUUGAUAUGGUAAAAUGCUCUGAGGCAGUUUAGUACAACUGGCCUCAAAUGCCAUUUAAGUAUAUUAGGACAUUUGAGUUUGCCAGUGAAAACUGUUCACUGGGUGUAAAACAGUUGGUGUUUUGUUUUAAAAAUUAGAAAUGAUUGAAUCGACAGUUGAAAUAUUUAGCUACAUACUCUAUAAUUUGGAUUUCACUGUCUAGCUGGAAGCCCUUGGUUAGUGGAGCUGAAGACCUCUAUUCCUGAAUUACUAUUUAAAAAAUGUUUAAAUGUUUAUUUACUUAUUUUGAGAGAGAAAGAGAAUGAGCAGGAAAGAGGGAGAGGGAGAGGGAGACAAAGAAUCCCAAGCAGUCUCUGCAAUGUCAGUGCAGAGCCUGAUGCAGGGCUCGAACUCACAAACCGUGAGUUCAUGACCUGAGUCAAAAUGAAGAGUCAGGUGCUUAACCAACAGAGCCACCCAGGCGCCCCUUCAUUCGUGAAUUAUUAAAGGUAAACCAGGCCAUCAUUCAGUCUUUGGGGAGGACUGAGUGAGUCUUUUUGGUUCUCAAUGUCAUUAGAAACCCCACAGUACAUAAGUCCUGGGGUAUUGCCUCAACAGAUUUAGUUGAAAAAUCCUUAUUUGUACAUGUCACAUGGUCCUAUGCAUGGAGAAGACAUUUAAAAGGAAGGGGAAAAGAUAACGAAAGGUACAAUUUAAGCCAGGGCUUCUAGAACAUUCAUCUAGGGAAGUUUAGUGCCCAGCAUACAGUAGGGAUCAACAACGGGUGGCUGAAUGAAUUAAUGAAUGGACAGACACUUGUUAUCACUGACUGUCAGAAGGGACAUUAGGGAUAAUUUAGGCUGCUGCUGGCAUUUUGGGUGGGGCAGUGUAUUUUGUAGGAUUGUCCCUUGCUCUCUGCAGGGCAUUUAGUAUCACUGGGCACUGGCCACUAAAAAAAUGCUCAUGCACAUUUACAAGUGCCCCUCAGUUUAGAGUCAUCUUGACCCCUCCACCCCUUUUAUUUAAAAGCUGGAGACUCAGAGGUUUCAGGAGAUGAAGUGAUGUGCUCAAGGUCACUCAAACUAUUGGUACCAGUGGGAGUUCUGUUUUUUUUUUUUAAACAGUAUUUAAAAACUUUUUUUUAAAUGUUUAUUUAUUUUUGAGAGAGAGACAGAGACAGAUCAUGAGCAGGGGAGAGACAGAGAGAGAGGGAGACACAGAAUCUGAAACAGGCUCCAGGCUCUGAGCUGUCAGCACGGAGCCGGACGCAGGGCUUGAACUCACAAACCGUGAGAUCAUGACCUGAAGCCAAAGUCAGACGCUUAACCAACUGAGCCACACAGGUGCCCC